rnacentral:miRNA from 1 species
CCGGGCUCUUUCCACUACGCGCCUCGCUAUUUUCUUAAUUAUUUUGUUCUUAUGUUACUUUUUUAAAGCGAAGCGCGUAGUGAAAAGAGCCUGGGU